CGGGAAUGAUGACGGGUAACAGCUCCCAGAUAAAUGGUGCAUUUUUCACCUUCCUUAACUUACCCCUAAAGUUUGGAAGUCUCUUUGACGUCAAGAACCACCACCAACAGGUGAUUUUGCCUCCUGCCUCUGCAGACAUUGCCACAGUGGUAACAGGACCCAACUAUUGUGCAGAAACCUAGUUAACUACACAGUCUGCCUAAUUAACAAAGUGUUACAAGAAUAACGCUCCACAAUACAGAGAUGCACCAAAUACCAGACUCUACCAUACCAGACUCCCCAGAAUCUCCUGACGGUGAUCUAGACUCGGCACAAAUAACUUGGGAAGACAAUCCAGAAAUUACCCCGCGUUGGAAGCAUCCUGGGAAGAUCUCUCAGACCUCUGGGAAGACCCGUUAGAUGACGACACUUAGCCACAGCAGGGGACACUUUUCAACUGCAUAACUUAUGCUAAGAACUCCUCAGAGGUCACCUUCUUUAAUCGCACUUGGAGGCAUGGUACUUUCAUCACCAUCGGCAAAGGAUGCAUUAAAAUAUUGUAUGCUCGGGUGCCUGGGUGGCUCAGUCGUUAAGCGUCUGCCUUCGGCUCAGGUCAUGAUCCUGGGGUCCUGGGAUCGAGUCCCACAUCGGGCUCCCUGCUCAGCAGGAAGCCUGCUUCUCCCUCUCCCACUCCCCCUGCUUGUGUUCCUGCUCUCGCUAUGUCUCUCUCUGUCAAAUAAAUAAAUAAAAAAUCUUAAAAAAAAAAAUAUUGUAUGCUCUUAAUGUAACAUUUAAUAAUGUUAUCAAAAUGGGUAACUUUAUCUCAGAAUAUUCAUGUAAGGAUUUUCCAACAUCCCAUCACACCAGAGUAACAGAGAUACCUUGGGUGAAAACUGACAAGAUUGAUAAACUCUAGGUAAAAACUUAGAAGGAUUCAGGGUGGCCCACAAAACCUUGACCAGCAAGCUAACCCACUUUGAACAUGCUGCACAGGCCAUUUGUGUGGCCUUGGCACUCCCCAACACCAACCUGGCCGCACUGAGCAGAGAUAUACAAAAUUUACAGAAUGUAUGUUCUUUCUAGAAUUGCUAACAAAACCUUUUAAACAUGUCAUUGUUCUGGCUCCUGGUCUGACUAUAACCCCUUAAAAUACUUAAAGAUGGGAGGCAAUUACUUCUCUACUCAUAUUUGAGAAUCCAUUAAGGAAAUCCUUCUAUUGCUUUUAGCUAUUAUUUUGGCUAUCUUAUUAAAAAAGCUAUUAGAAUGUUAUGCACCCUCAGGCUUAAGAA